UGAAGGAGUUUAGUUAAUGCUAAUGACUAAAUUAAAAUGAAAAUUAAACGCACCAAACAUAAUUAAAAACAUCGAAAUAAAUGAACAAAACAUGAAGACGGAAUAAUAUCUAAAGCAAGUGGGGAAAUUGGAAAUGCAAGAUAAAGAAACCGAACGGAACAAGAAUCAUAGUGAACGAAAACCGUAAAUUAAACAGUCUUAAAGAAAGAUAUGUGAACUAAUUAAAAUGCAACAAAUAAUAAAAAUAACUUGACUAAAAAUAAAAUACACAUGGACCAAAUUAAAUGCAACAAAUAAAUAAAAAAAAAAGUGCUGCAAUAAAACUUUAAAUAAGAAAAUAAAAAAAAACAUGUUUGUGAAACCGUGCAGCACUAUUGAAAUUAAUGUUCAAGUGCGUGAAUCAUUUUAAAUGCAAUGAGAAAAAUACAUUAAGGCAUAAGUUGAAAUGUAAGCUCUUGAAUUCUUUUCUUUAACAAAGACAUUCUUGCAUAAAAAAAAAAAUCACCGCUCCCACCUAAUACCAUAUGAAAUAAGCAUAUUAUCUAAAGGUAAAAGAAAUGAAAAUUGCUCCUUCCUCUUCUCGGGAAUGUGCAAGGUGCCAAAUGAAAAAUAAAAUCCCAGAGUAAGUGGCGGCUGCACCGUCCAAAUGAAAAUAAAAUAUUAAAAUCUAAUCACCAUACACUUUGCUAAAAAUUUGAAUGAACUUCUAGGAAAGCAUAAUCACGAGGUCGUUACAACACUUGCUUCAAACUUCCAGCAACGUCCUAUCGUGUGCCCAUUUAAUUACCUCUUCAUCACCCAAGAAAUAAAUGAAAAGAAAAAGAUACUACUUCAUCACCCA
rnacentral:lncRNA from 1 species